UAAAAAGCGAUACAAAAGAGAAGUAACUUUAGAUAGACUUUGCAGAGAGCUGAUGGUGGUGAGAAUCGGUAAGUCAAUAGAGCGAAAUGGACUUUUGUGCUGAAAGACUGAAAAUAGUAGGUUUUUUCCGGGAACUCCCGUUAACGAGGAAGAGUAUUAUGUGAUACUUGAGAGAGAAAAUGAGAGAGAAACUUUCAUUCAUUGAGGUGGCACCGUGAAUUCAUCGCCCUCAAC
rnacentral:ncRNA from 1 species